AUUGAACGCUGGCGGAAUGCUUUACACAUGCAAGUCGAACGGCAGUACGGACUUCGGUCUGGUGGCGAGUGGCGAACGGGUGAGUAAAGGAUCGGGACGUGGCCAGUCGUGGGGGAUAAGGUAGGGUAAAGUACGCUAAUACCGCAUACGAUCGAUGGAUGAAAGCGGGGGAUCGCAAGACCUGAGGCGAUUGGAACGGCCGAUAUCAGAUUAGGUAGUUGGUGGGGUAAAGGCCCACCAAGCCAACGAUCUGUAGCUGGUCUGAGAGGACGACCAGCCACACUGGAACUGAGACACGGUCCAGACUCCUACGGGAGGCAGCAGUGGGGAAUUUUGGACAAUGGGCGAAAGCCUGAUCCAGCCAUUCCGCGUGCAGGACGAAGGCCCUCGGGUUGUAAACUGCUUUUGUACAGAACGAAAAGGUUUCUACUAAUACUAGGAGCUCAUGACGGUACUGUAAGAAUAAGAACCGGCUAACUACGUGCCAGCCGCCGCCGUAA
rnacentral:rRNA from 1 species